rnacentral:lncRNA from 1 species
CACGGAUGCAGAGGAGAAGGCCAUGUGGAGACGGAGGCAGAGAGUGGAGUGAUAUGGCCACAAGCCCAGGGACCCCAGAGUCCCCAGGAGCUGGGAGAAGCGGGAAGGAUCCUCAUUAGUCCAUGAAAAUGGACUAAUACAGGAGGACGGAGAUAGAAACAGACAGGGAGAGACAGAGAGAGAGAAAGAGAUACAAAGAGACACAGAGAGGGGAGACAGAGAGAGGGAGAGAGAAAAACAGAGACAGAAAAACAGACAUAGACAGAGAUAGUGGGUGAUGGACAGAGAGAGACAGAUAGAAACAGAGAGAGACAGAGAUACAAAGAGACACAGAGAAGGGAGACAGAGGGAAAAAGAAAGAAAAACAGAAACAGACAGAGACAAAGAGACAGAGUAGGUGAUGGACAGAGAGAGACAGAGAUAGAAACAGACAGGGAGAGACGGAGAUACAAAGAGACACAGAGAGGGGAGACAGAGAGGGAAAGAGAAAAAGAGACAGAAAAACAGAGAGACAUAGACAAAGACAGACAGAGUGGGUGAUGGACAGAGAGAGAGACAGAAACGGAGAGACAGAAAGACAUAGAUACAAAGAGAGAGGGAAAGAGAAAAACAGAAAAACAGAAACAGAGAGACAUAGAGAGACAAAGAGACAGAGUGGGUGAUGGACAGAGAGAGACAGAGAUAGAAACGGAGACAGAGAGAGAGAGACAGAGAUACAAAGAGACAGAGAGAGGGAAAGAAAAACAGAGACAGAGAGGAAAACAGAAGCAGAGAGACAGAGAGAGUGGGUGAUGUAGUUUGGCUGUGUCCCCACCCAAAUCUCAUCUUGAAUUGUAGCCCUUAUAACUCCCACGUGUUGUGAGAGGGACUGGGUAGGACAUAACUGAAUCAUGGGGGCAGUUUCCCCCCACACUGUUCUCGGGGUAGUGAAUAAGUCUCACGAGAUCUAAUGGUUUAAUAAGGGAAACCUUUCUCUCGGCUCUCAUUUUUUUUUUUUUUUUUUUUUUCUCGAGACGGAGUCUCACUCUGUCACCCAGGCUGGAGUGCAGUGGCGCGAUCUCAACUCACUGCAACCUCUGCCUCCCGGGUUCAAGCGAUUCUCCUGCUUCAGCCUCCCGAGUAGCUGGGACCACAGGCGCCUGCCACCACCACGUCUGGGUAAUUUUUUUUAUUUUUAGUAGAGCUAGGUUUCACCAUGUUGGCCAGGCUGGUCUUGAACUCCUGACCUCGUGGUCCACCCACCUCGUCCUCCCAAGGUGCUGUGAUUACAGGCAUGAGUCACUGCGCCCGGCGACUGUCUCAUUCUGUCUUGCCCGCUGACAUGUAAGACAUGCCUUUCCUCCUCCUUCACCUUCUGCCGUGAUCGUGAGGCCUCCCCAGCCACAUGGAACUAUACUUCAAAUUACUUCUCCUAUGCAUUUGGAGAGCGGGAGAGAAAAACACCAGGAAGGAAGAGGGAACAAAGAAACUCUACAGGCAGAGACACAGGACUGAGCCGCGUUGGGGGCACUGGGAGGAGUGAGCCUUGGGGUUGCACCCUCGGAGCCCCACUGUCCUGGGAGCAGCCUUCAGAACCACCCUUUUGUUCUCUGAAGUACCAGGCGUUCAGCUUUUCCAAGGACUGGCAGCUGCACAUCUUUGUCCCUGCCCCUUCCAUCUCUAGGCUCAGCCCCGCUGGGCAGCCUGGCCCACUCCCCACCCCUGCCCAGGGCCAACCCCUACUUCCCAUGCCCCCUCUGCCCACCUGCAGCACACUGGAGCCUUGGAGGCCCUCUCUGCAUCAUUCAAGAUGCAGACUCCUACACUUUGACCUGCACACAUCCUCCUGAAGCUUCCACUUCCUGGCCCCUGCCUGGCUUCUCACCUCCCCCACCUCCGCCCCCCAGGGGAUGUGCCGCCUCUCCCAGUGGCCCAGGACAUCCUCCACUUCCCGGGAACCCCAGGCACUUCCACAUCCUCAGACACAGUGAGAAGAUGACCCUCUCUCCAAGCCAGGAAGAGACCUCCCGAGGAGCCCAGCCAGCCAGCACGCUGACCUCCAACGUCCAGCCUCUGGAAAUGGGAUACCGAAGGCUGCGCUCCUGCCCCGCACCAGGAUGUGGGAACUUUGAGAACCGCUGGAGAGUCGAGAGAUGUCAUCGAAACGACACCCGAUACGUGUUCCCUGAGCAUCCGUUUUGUAGUGAAGACACUCGUACUGUUGACGCCUGCUGCGGUAAGCGAUGGAAUUUCACUCUUGUUGCCCAGGCUGGAGAGCAAUGGCACGAUCUCAGCUCACCGCAAUCUCCGCCUCCCGGGUUCAAGUGAUUCUCCUGCCUCAGCCUCCUGAGUAGCUGGGACUACAGGCAUGUGCCACCACCCCUGGCUAAUUUUGUAUUUUUAGUAGAGAUGGGGUUUCACCAUGUUAGCCAGGCUGGUCUCGAAUUCCUGACCUCAGGUGAUCCGCCUGCCUCGGCCUCCCAAAGUGCUGGGAUUACAGGCGUGAGCCACCAUGCCCGGCUAAUUUUUGUGUUUUUAGUAGAGACGGGGUUUCACCAUGUUGGCCAGGCUGGUCUCGAACUCCUGACCUCAGGUGAUCCGCCCGCCUCGGCCUCCCAAAGUGCUGGGAUUACAGGCGUGAGCCACUGCGCCCGGCCUCCCCAAGGAGCACUUUUACAGCCAAACCCACCUCUCUCAGCUCUCACUCCUGCUUAUAUCCCUGCAACCCAGGAGACUGUUUUCUAUUUGUAAAAUUUUGCCAUUUCAAGACAGUUGUAUUAAUGAAAUCACUGUGUGUGUCACGCUCUGGAGUGGUCUUUUUUUUCCGACUCGGCAUAACUCCCUGGAAAUCCAUUAAACUUAAAAAUAAUUAAAUUGAGGCCCGGCACAGUGGCUCCCGCCUGUCAUCCCAGCACUUUGGGAGGCUGAGGCGGGUGGAUCACAAGGUCAGGAGUUC